rnacentral:lncRNA from 1 species
UGAAUCCCUUGACAUGUUUCUCAGACCAGAGCAGAUGUUUUUCAGAGCAGAUAACUGUGUAGUUGGCCCAGAUUACAAAGUACAUUAGAGUUCUGUUUCUCUGGAAACCUUCAGUGAGGUCACUCAUGUUAGUGUUAUUCCUUGAAAUGUGCAGUAAACUCCCACGUCGCCCUCUCUCUUUCUCUCUCUGUAGGGGUUCCCUGGGGUUAUGGGGCUGCCUGGUUGUAAAGGAGACGAGGGGGCAGAGGGGGAGCCAGGUCCUCUGGGACAGAAAGGAGAUGCAGGAUCUUAUGGAUUACCUGGACAAAAGGGAGAGAUGGGAACACCUGAGGAGCUAGGGGUUUCUGGAGUGUCUGGAGCCAACGGAGCCAAGGUAAUCAAUCAAUUUAUCGAUUUAUCAACUAAUCAAUUAAUCAAUCAAUAAUUUGAUCAUUCAAUCAUCCAUCCAUCUAUCACACAGGAGAGCUUUUCUGUGUGG